rnacentral:rRNA from 1 species
UGUCGUCAGCUCGUGUUGUGAAAUGUUGGGUUAAGUCCCGCAACGAGCGCAACCCUUAUCCUUUGUUGCCAGCGGUCCGGCCGGGAACUCAAAGGAGACUGCCAGUGAUAAACUGGAGGAAGGUGGGGAUGACGUCAAGUCAUCAUGGCCCUUACGACCAGGGCUACACACGUGCUACAAUGGCGCAUACAAAGAGAAGCGACCUCGCGAGAGCAAGCGGACCUCAUAAAGUGCGUCGUAGUCCGGACUGGAGUCUGCAACUCGACUCCAUGAAGUCGGAAUCGCUAGUAAUCGUGGAUCAGAAUGCCACGGUGAAUACGUUCCCGGGCCUUGUACACACCGCCCGUCACACCAUGGGAGUGGGUUGCAAAAGAAGUAGGUAGCUUAACCUUCGGGAGGGCGCUUACCACUUUGUGAUUCAUGACUGGGGUGAAGUCGUAACAAGGUAACCGUAGGGGAACCUGCGGUUGGAUCACCUCCUUA